rnacentral:rRNA from 1 species
GACGAACGCUGGCGGCGUGCCUAAUACAUGCAAGUCGAACGCAGUGGGGACGGGUGAGUAACACGUGGGUAACCUCCCAUCAGAGGGGAUAACACUUGGAAACAGGUGCUAAACCGAUACUGAUGGAUGGACCCGCGGUGCAUUAGCUAGUUGGUGAGGUAACGGCUCACCAAGGCCACGAAGCAUAGCCGGCCUGAGAGGAUGAUCAGCCACACUGGGACUGAGACACGGCCCAGACUCCUACGGGAGGCAGCAGUAGGGAAUAUUGGACAAUGGGCGAAAGUCUGACCGAGCAACGCCGCGUGAGUGAAGAAGGUUUUCGGGUCGUAAAGCUCUGUUGGCAGAGAAGCGGUAUCUGACGAAGAAGCCACGGCUAACUACGUGCCAGCAGCCGCGGUAAUAC